UUAUUUAGAAAUUGUAUGCUCUCCUCCAGUAGUUCGCCAUGGGAACUUUAGACCUGACAAAGGCAGCUACAGAGCGGGUGAUACAAUCACAAUACAGUGUGAUCUUGGAUAUCAUUUUAAAGCAUUGACUGGCAGAAACAUAGCUGAAUGUACCGGGAAUGGCUGGGUGCCCGAGCCAGCUUGUGUCUCGAAACCGUGUGACUACCCAGUUAUAGAAAACGGCAAGUUAAGUAACGCAUAUGAGUACAACAGACACUAUUACUUUCCAAUGAGAUUUGGGCAGAGUUUUGACUACUACUGUUUCCAAGAUUAUUCAACCCCCACUGGAAAUACCUGGGGUCGAAGUUCUUGUUCCGAAAGGGGCUGGUCUCCAGAGCCAAAAUGCCUGA